UCAAAUCAUAGUGGCUACAUGAUGGCUC
rnacentral:piRNA from 1 species